GUGAGCUAGCUAAAGCAUAAUCACCUGCUUUCAUUGAAUAUGGGUUAACUCCAUUUUGGGCUCUUUGGAAACCCUGUGGUGGAGGUGAAUUGAAGAAAUCCUUGGCCCUUUGGAAACCCUGUGGUGGAGGUGAAUGGAAGACAUUCUGGGCCCUUUGGCAACCCUGUGGUGGAGGGAAAUAAUCCGAUAGGCAGGGAGGAGGUGGAGUAGUUUUGGUCUGUGGAACUGAAGUUUCCAUGUCUUUUUGUCUUUUUUAUGUUGCUGUUUCAGACCCUUCAGCAGACCCUUCAGCUCAAACAUGACAGGCUUCAUAAUUGGAGAGAUGGGCAGCUCAGCCACGAUGGGCUUCACUGGUGGAGAGAUGG